rnacentral:rRNA from 1 species
GCCCGCUCAGAAACUACAAAGGAAUUGACGGGGGCCCGUACAAGCGGUGGAGCAUGUGGUUUAAUUCGAAGCAACGCGAAGAACCUUACCAGCCCUUGACAUACCCGGUCGCGGACACAGAGAUGUGUCUUUCAGUUCGGCUGGACCGGAUACAGGUGCUGCAUGGCUGUCGUCAGCUCGUGUCGUGAGGUGUUGGGUUAAGUCCCGCGACGAGCGCAACCCCUAUCUUUAGUUGCCAUCAGUUCGGCUGGGCACUCUAUGGAGACUGCCACCUAAAGUGGAGGAAGGUGGGGAUGACGCCAAGUCAUCAUGGCCCUUAUGUCCAGGGCGACACACGUGCUACAAUGGCCGGCACAACGGGAAGCGAGUUCGCGAGGACAAGCGGAUCCCUUAAAGCCGGUCGCAGUUCGGAUUGAAGUCUGCAACUCGACUUCAUGAAGCUGGAAUCGCUAGUAAUCGUGGAUCAGCCAAGCCGCGGUGAAUACGUUCCCGGGCCUU